rnacentral:lncRNA from 1 species
UUUUUUUUUUUUUAAGUAAAAUUAAAUUUGACUGAUGUAUAAACAAUGUCGGGUUUAGGUAGGUAAGGAAGGGUGUGUUUCUUGUUGGAGGUUGCUGCUGUGAUUUUACAAUUUGCUGUCUUAUUGUCCAAUGGUUUACCAUUUUGAACCACUUACACCAUGUCCUUACAAAUGCCUUUUCCUGUCACCUGGGAGAGGUGUUACGUCAAUGCAUUCUAGAAUGAGUAAGCUACACUUAGCAGCUUAAAUGUAAUUACAAUCUGAAAUUUAUUUUCCUUUACCAGCUUAAUUCUAAGGAAGCUUGAAUAUGGGACCUGUGCAGUACAGGUGUUAAAGUUAUGUUUCCUUUUUCCUAAAUGCCUGAGACCAGCGGUGUUUCAGAUUUUAGAUUAAAAAAAUGUUUUGAAAUAUUUGCAUAUAUAUUAUGUAAUCUAUAUUUUAUACAUAUAUAUGUAUAUACAAACAGGGAGGGGGAAGAUAGAGAUGGAACCCAGCUAGAGCUAUAAAAAUCCCUUUGUGUAUCACAUGGGCCUGCCCUAUGCACACAGCUUGAAGGACGGUGUGCUCAGUGUUUUAGUGUGUCUGAGAGUUAACUGACCUGUGUGCACAGGAGGCCAGUUGUGCAGUUCUCACCUAGGUCGUGCCACUCACAGUUGGAUUUCUGGAGCAUUUUGGUCAGUCAACCUGGACUGCGAACUAGUAAGUUGCUGUGUAUUCUGUGACUGUAGCUAAUAUUUAGCUUGCCUCAAAUUUUUUGAGCUGAUAUUUAGUCUUAACAAAUUCUCCUUAUUGGAUGAACUGCACAGGAAGUUUUUCUUUUCAACCACGUCUCUCUAUGACAUAAACGUUGGGGUACUUAGGGUAAAGUAGACACUGCAUGUGUUUAUGAAGGUGCAAACAGAAAGAAGGGUGUCAAGUGCUACAGUUGCAUUGCUGUUGCUGUUUGUAAACUGUGCCGUCUCAGCGUUUGGGUGAGUAAAUGUUUGCAACCACUGGAGAAGAGUAAAGGCCCUGUGUGUGGUGCUACAUCCUCCUAGGAUUUAGUUCACACAGACUAUGCCAGGAUGGAGGGGCACCUGAAAACUGCCCUGGGAGUUUUGGAGGAAGGGCUUCUAAAAUACUUAAAAAUACGUGAAUCACUUCAGUCUGUUUAAACGGAAAAAAAUAUUUGAUACCAGGUCUUUAUAUAUAUAUAUAAAUAUAUAUAAAAGAAUAGUUGUCUCAAGAGGAAUAAAAUCUGGAGUGUAAAAAAAAUGUUAAAAAAAAAGAAUACUUGUCUCACUUUAUAAUAUUUUUUAAAGGAAAAAAGAAAACGUUUCCAAUAGCUUUUGUGUUCUGUGAGCUCUCACUUUUUACCUGAAGCAGUCUUCUGUAGCAUGUCCCACAGCAUCAGAGUAACUUGAUGGUGACUAUCAUUUUUGUGCCCAUUAUCAGGCUCCAGUCAUCUGUGAGAGGGGAUAAACUACCUUGCUACUAACUUAGGCCUUUUGUGAUCUAAUGACAUAGCUGAGGGUGGUGUGUUCGGGUAUAUAAGAGGUUAGUAUAUUCAAAAACAAUCUCUGCUAUUGUGGUUAUAAUUAUUUUUGUAGUGUUUUAAUAGAUGCACAUUAAAGUUUGU